rnacentral:lncRNA from 1 species
AGCCUGGCUAUGCUAUCUGCCUUUACCACCUCCUGUGGCAAUGAAUCCUACAAGUCAACUGUAUGUUGCAUAAAGAAAAAAAGUGUUUUUGCCUGUUAAUUUUAAAGCUGUCUCCUAGUAAUUUCAGCAAGUGCCCCCCUAGUUUUAGUAUUUUGGGACUUGGUGAACAACAGUUCGCUGUUUACUUAGUCCACACCCUUCAUGACUUUAUAGACCUCUAUCAUAUCCCCCCUCAGCCACUGCCUUUCCAAACAGAAGCGUCCUAGCCUUUUUAGUCUUUUUUGGUUUGGCAUCAGUUGCAUACCCAUGAUCAUUUUGGUUGGCCUUCUCUGUACCUUUUCCAAUUCUACUACAUCCCUUUUUGAGAUGUGGAGACCAGAACUGCACACAGUAUUCAAGAUGUGGGCACACCAUGGAUUUGUAUAAUGGCAUGAUGAUGUUCUCCAUUUUUUUUUUUUUUUUUUUCCUAUUCCCUUCCAGGUACAUUACCUUUCACUUAUCAGCACUGAAGUUCAUUUGCCAUUUUUUUGCUCACUCACUUAGCUUGGUGAGAUCUUUCUGCAGCUCCUUCCCAUCAGACUUAACUGCAUGGAAUAAUUUGGUAUCAUCUGCAAACUUGGAGAUUUCACUGUGCACCCAUUUCCAAGUCAUUGAAGAAGAUCCUAAACAAAAUUGGGCCCAAAUAUGAUGCUAAUUAAGAUCACUUCAUCUGGUGGCAGCACAGACCGCUCUCCUCAGCUGACUGACCCAGAUGUGCCUUCUUCCACAUCAGCAGUGACCACCGAAACUGGGAGUGAUGAAGUAUUUAUUAUUUCAGCUGGCCCUGGUCCCAGUGGGUUGAGUUUUACCACAUACAGAAUACAGGACAAAAAACUAAAGAGAAGUAUCACGAGUCCAGCCUCUGUGUCCAGUUGGCUGACUUCUGAUCACUUGGCCCCAGGAGCAGGCACCAUCGACAAAGGGAAUGUAGCAGCAGAAAACCAUUAUUCAAGACAACGAACUUGGAGUGCCCGAACUUUUCAUGAUUUAUUGGCUCCAAUACCUCAAUUACAGAAAAAGUGGUGCAGUUGGAGCACUACCAGCCCCUUCAGCAAGCUGGUGGACAGCGGUCGUUUCUCUACAUCUUCAAGAAACCAGGGUGCAGCAACUAGAAAAGUAAUUUCUGACACUGAGGUAGAGGGCACCUCUGAGCCUGUUUACUCCGACUCAUCUACCAGUAAUGCAUCAUACCCACUAACCCAGUCUGCACAGAGGCAGCGGAAGCUGAGCUCCUGUAACUUGAAGAAAUCCAGGCAAGACUAA